UACGUAGGGUGCGAGCGUUGUCCGGAAUUACUGGGCGUAAAGAGCUCGUAGGUGGUUUGUCGCGUUGUCCGUGAAAUUCCCUGGCUUAACUGGGGGCGUGCGGGCGAUACGGGCAGACUGGAGUACUGCAGGGGAGACUGGAAUUCCUGGUGUAGCGGUGAAAUGCGCAGAUAUCGGGAGGAACACCAGAGGCGAAGGCGGCGAACUGGACAGUAACUGACACUCAACUGCGAAA
rnacentral:rRNA from 1 species